AUUGAACGCUGGCGGAAUGCUUUACACAUGCAAGUCGAACGGUAGAGGGGGCAACCCCUCGAGAGUGGCGAACGGGUGAGUAAUAUAUCGGAACGUGCCCAGUCGUGGGGGAUAACGUAGCGAAAGUUACGCUAAUACCGCAUACGAUCUAAGGAUGAAAGCGGGGGAUCGCAAGACCUCGCGCGAUUGGAGCGGCCGAUAUCAGAUUAGGUAGUUGGUGGGGUAAAGGCUCACCAAGCCAACGAUCUGUAGCUGGUCUGAGAGGACGACCAGCCACACUGGAACUGAGACACGGUCCAGACUCCUACGGGCGGCAGCAGUGGGGAAUUUUGGACAAUGGACGCAAGUCUGAUCCAGCCAUUCCGCGUGCAGGAUGAAGGCCCUCGGGUUGUAAACUGCUUUUGUACGGAACGAAAAGGUCUCUCUUAAUACGGGGGGCUCAUGACGGUACCGUAAGAAUAAGCACCGGCUAACUACGUGCCAGCAGCCGCGGUAA
rnacentral:rRNA from 1 species